GCCUCUAAGGUGACUGCCGGUGACAAACCGGAGGAAGGUGGGGAUGACGUCAAAUCAUCAUGCCCCUUAUGACCUGGGCUACACACGUGCUACAAUGGAUGGUACAAAGGGCUGCAAGACCGCGAGGUCAAGCCAAUCCCAUAAAACCAUUCUCAGUUCGGAUUGUAGGCUGCAACUCGCCUACAUGAAGCUGGAAUCGCUAGUAAUCGCGGAUCAGCAUGCCGCGGUGAAUACGUUCCCGGGCCUUGUACACACCGCCCGUCACACCACGAGAGUUUGUAACACCCGAAGUCGGUGGGGUAACCUUUAUGGAGCCAGCCGCCUAAGGUGGGACAGAUGAUUGGGGUGAAGUC
rnacentral:rRNA from 1 species